UACGACUACAUAUCAGGCAUAUCAAUAAGCGGAGGAAAAGAAACUAACUAGGAUUCCCUUAGUAACGGCGAGUGAAGCGGGAAGAGCUCAAAUUUGAAAUCUUCAAGGUUUUACCUUGACGAAUUGUAGUUUAAAGAAGUGUUUUCUGUUGAGUGUUUCGGUAAAAGUUCUUUGGAAUAGGACAUCAUAGAGGGUGAGAAUCCCGUAUUUGACCAUUACUUCCAGCGUUGUGAUACACUUUCAAAGAGUCGGAUUGUUUGGGAAUGCAGUCCAAAAUGGGUGGUAAAUUUCAUCUAAAGCUAAAUAUUGGCGAGAGACCGAUAGCGAACAAGUACCGUGAGGGAAAGAUGAAAAGAACUUUGAAAAGAGAGUUAAACAGUACGUGAAAUUGUCAAAAGGGAAGCGUUUGACACCAGUGUUGUUUUCUCGAAAAUCAAUUAAAAAGAGUUGGAUUUUGUAUUGUUAAGACCUUAUCAGCUUACUGUACUUUUUUCUUGCUCUUUUUAAUGCACUUUUCGUUUAACAAGUCAACAUCAAUUUCUUUUGUUGUAAAAGGAGUCAUUGGAAGGUGGCUUUCACUUCGGUGAAAGUGUUUAUAGCCUUUGGCUUCUACAAUCGGAGAGAUUGAGGUCUGCAGCGUAGAUCCUUCGGGGUUAGAUACGUAGAUGCUAAGUUAUAGUUUUUUAUAGACAACUUGUUGACUAUGAUUAAUCAUGUAGCUUACUCGUUUACGGCUAUUUUACCUACGCUUAGGAUGUUGAUCUCUCACAGUCGAGC
rnacentral:rRNA from 1 species